rnacentral:rRNA from 1 species
GCAGUCGAACGAUCCACUGGAUUUCGGUUUAGUGGAUAGUGGCGAACGGGUGAGUACAAAAUAGGUAACGUGCCUUGAUCACAGGGAUACCGUCGGGAGCUUGCUCCCUUUGCGAAAGUGGCGUUAAUACCUGAUGACAUUUCGAAUUGGCAUCUUUUUGAAAUCAAAGGUGGGGAUCUUCGGACCUGCCGGAUUGAGAUCGGCCUAUUUCCUAUCAGCUUGUUGGUGAGGUAACGGCUCACCAAGGCAACGACGGGUAGCGGGACUGAGAGGUUGGCCCGCCACAUCGGAACUGAGACACUGUCCGGACACCUACGGGUGGCUGCAGUAACGAAUAUUCCGCAAUGGGCGAAAGCCUGACGGAGCAAUGCCGCGUGGAGGACGAAUUCCCUCGGGAUGUAAACUCCUUUUAGGUCUAUGAAAGCGAAGGCGGUUAAUACCCGUCUAAGUUGAUCUAAGCCAGAAAA